rnacentral:rRNA from 1 species
UACGGAGGGUGCGAGCGUUGUCCGGAAUCACUGGGCGUAAAGGGCGCGUAGGCGGCCUGAUAAGUAGGGGGUGAAAUCCUGCGGCUUAACCGCAGGGCUGCCUUCUAAACUGUCAGGCUUGAGCACAGUAGAGGCAGGUGGAAUUCCCGGUGUAGCGGUGGAAUGCGUAGAGAUCGGGAGGAACACCGGUGGCGAAGGCGGCGACCUGGGUAGAUACUGACGCUGAGGUGCGAAAGCGUGGGGAGCAAACAGG